rnacentral:rRNA from 1 species
UACGUAGGGUCCGAGCGUUGUCCGGAAUUAUUGGGCGUAAAGAGCUCGUAGGCGGUUUGUCGCGUCUGCUGUGAAAUCCCUAGGCUCAACCUCGGGUCUGCAGUGGGUACGGGCAGACUGGAGUGCGGUAGGGGAGAAUGGAAUUCCUGGUGUAGCGGUGGAAUGCGCAGAUAUCAGGAGGAACACCGAUGGCGAAGGCAGUUCUCUGGGCCGUAACUGACGCUGAGGAGCGAAAGCGUGGGGAGCGAACAGG